GAUGAAGGUAUUAAUGACUGUGAGGUGUUUGAGGCAUUUAGAAGCCAGAACUAAACAGAAUGUGUAUUGCAAAAAGCAUGCUGACAUUUCAAUACUCCUUCAGCUCAACAGUGCAGAGUACAGUCACAGCAAGAAAAGCAACAUGUAACCAUGAAUAGCCUGAGAUUAAUGUAACUGGAUUUUCCAAGAAUUUAGUUUAAAUUGAAAGACCAUUGAACUCUUACUGAUGGCGAAUUGAACACUGUAGAGAUCUUUAAACAACUUCUGGCAUUUAGACAGCAUCAGGAGCAGGGGAGUUCAGAGUAGAUAGAAAAGAUUUCUUUCUGUGAAGCAGUUCCUGAACUGAUAAAAGUUAACCUCAGAUAAGCAUUUAGAAGAUUUUAUACAUAAAGACAAUUUAAUUAGUCAAUGGGAUCAACCAGAAAGAAUGGAGAAAGCACAGGUGAGAGUAUCUGAAAUCGGUUUUGCCUUACUAGUUCUUGGGUGCUCCUUCCUGUCAUUGGAAACAACAAAUGCCUAUGUAAUUGGAACAAGACCUUCACAGAGAGAGGAGGAAUAGCCUGUACCUCCUCUUGUGGUGUGAAAUGCCAGGAAAUUCUUCUCAGGCUCUUCUUUGCCUCUCAUGCUUUCCACACUAUUAAGGCUUUCUGCUCAGCGGCCCCUUGAAGAAUGUGGCAUUUCCUUUGAGCUAAUGAAAAUGUGAAAGCAGCUGUAAGAUUUGGACUGAGUGGGCUGUUUCUUUGAGAUGAAGGAGUGCAAAUUCUUUCUGGCUAAAGGAACAAACAUUGUGAAGAAUAAACAGUAUCAGUAGCUGAAGUCUGGGAAAGGCUGAGGUUUGGGGAAGGCUAGAGGACUUAACAUAUAUACGCAUUGGGGAAAAUCCAAAGUUGCUUUAGUUUUCAGCUGAGACCUGUUGUGUACAGAUCUCUCUCAGAAACUGGC